AUAGAAUAAGAAAGGGUGAGAAGUUAUACUAUAUUUAAGAAUAUAUUUUUAGAGGUGGCACAUAUGUAUAAUUAUAACUUUAGAAUAAUGAAUGACUCAAGUUUAGUUUAUGGGAAGGUCUUAGAGGUGCCACAUCAACAUCAUCACAAUUUUGCACCCAAAUUUACUCUUAAUUUUAAGAAACUCAAUUGAUGGAAAGUAUGAAUGUCAAUCAAUUCCAUGGUCAAGGGUUAAAUUUCCAUGUUGCCGCGUUCAAAUCAUCAAAACAUGACUUUGUCUCUCUAAUUUCAGAAAGAUCAAGAGCGUUCCAUUAGAGUUUUGAGUAGAUAUGUGCUUCUACGAUUAGUUACCGAGGCAUUGAUGCUUUUUUUUUUUUUUAAAGAAGGCAUUCAUGCUAAUAACUCUUAUAAGAAACUAUUCAAUUAAAAACAUAACACACGGGCUUGGAAUGAAAACGAAUAAAAAAUAUUACUUUUUUAAUGCAUUUUUAAUAUGUUCCCUUCCACUUCUUUAUUAGACUCUUGAUCUUAUAACAAUGUUAAAUAAAAAAUAAAAACUUUAAUUUCAAUGAAAACAACCAUCUUUUCAUAUAUGAAGUGCACUCUCAACAAAACCCUCCAUUUUCUCAAAACUUAUGUAUGUGAAAUCAAAGAAAGGAUAUUCAUUAGAGAAAACAAAAAAUUAUAGAAAUAUACAUAUA
rnacentral:lncRNA from 1 species